CAAUAGCGUAUAUUAAAGUUGUUGCAGUUAAAAAGCUCGUAGUUGAAUUUCUGGGCGCCUGGCCGCCAGCCACGAUUUGUGCGCUGCGCGGUGUUGGCCCCACUCCUUGCAGGGAAGCGCCCGCUCGUCGGUGUCGUGGACCUGCUCCAUUACUGUGAGAAAAUCAGAGUGUUUAAAGCAGGCGUGUCCGCUUGAAUACAUUAGCAUGGAAUAAUAAGAUAGGACUACAGUCUAUUUUGUUGGUUACGGAUCGAAGUAAUGAUUAAUAGGGAUAGUUGGGGGUAUUCAUAUUUAAUAGUCAGAGGUGAAAUUCUUGGAUUUAUUAAAGAUGAACAACUGCGAAAGCAUUUACCAAGGAUGUUUNCAUUAA
rnacentral:rRNA from 1 species